AAAAUAAUGGAAUUAAAACGAGAUUAUCUAUGAAAACUGAACAAAAAGCAUCCUGUUCGAACAAGAGAACAUAAUACUCAAAAAAGUGAGCUAAUAUGAAAUUCAUGUGUGAGCACGAUGAACACUGUGAUCUACCCUUUAACCAUCUUUUUGGGAUGAAGAACGAAGCUAAGACACCCUUCGAAUUUCAAGAAACCUAUUGAUAUAAUUUUUUAUUGAAAUCGGUCAGCGCUGCAACUUCCAUCUAACGAACUUUAUUGUUUAACUAAAUAUUUUUGAGAACUACACUAGAACCAAAUCUAAUAUUAU